rnacentral:rRNA from 1 species
GACGAACGCUGGCGGCGUGCCUAAUACAUGCAAGUCGAACGCACUCUCGUUUAGAUUGAAGGAGCUUGCUCCUGAUUGAUAAACAUUUGAGUGAGUGGCGGACGGGUGAGUAACACGUGGGUAACCUGCCCUAAAGUGGGGGAUAACAUUUGGAAACAGAUGCUAAUACCGCAUAAAACCUAACACCGCAUGGUGUAGGGUUGAAAGAUGGUUUCGGCUAUCACUUUAGGAUGGACCCGCGGUGCAUUAGUUAGUUGGUGAGGUAAAGGCUCACCGAGACCGUGAUGCAUAGCCGACCUGAGAGGGUAAUCGGCCACACUGGGACUGAGACACGGCCCAGACUCCUACGGGAGGCAGCAGUAGGGAAUCUUCCACAAUGGACGAAAGUCUGAUGGAGCAACGCCGCGUGAGUGAAGAAGGUUUUCGGAUCGUAAAACUCUGUUGUUGGAGAAGAAUGUAUCUGAUAGUAACUGAUCAGGUAGUGACGGUAUCCAACCAG